AGUGAACGCUGGCGGUAGGCCUAACACAUGCAAGUCGAACGGCAGCACAGGAGAGCUUGCUCUCUGGGUGGCGAGUGGCGGACGGGUGAGGAAUACAUCGGAAUCUACUCUGUCGUGGGGGAUAACGUAGGGAAACUUACGCUAAUACCGCAUACGACCUACGGGUGAAAGCAGGGGAUCUUCGGACCUUGCGCGAUUGAAUGAGCCGAUGUCGGAUUAGCUAGUUGGCGGGGUAAAGGCCCACCAAGGCGGCGAUCCGUAGCUGGUCUGAGGGAAGGAACGGCGACAAUGGAACUAAGACAGGGUCCAGAAUCCGACGGGCGGCAGCGAUGGGGAAUAUGGGACAAUGGGCGCAAGCCUGAUCCAGCCAUACCGCGUGGGUGAAGAAGGCCUUCGGGUUGAAAAGCCUUUUGUUGGGAAAGAAAUCCAGCUGGCUAAUACCCGGUUGGGAUGACGGUACCCAAAGCAUAAGCACCGGCUAACUUCGUGCCAGCAGCCGCGGUAA
rnacentral:rRNA from 1 species